rnacentral:rRNA from 1 species
GACGUAGGUCCCGAGCGGUGCCCGGAUUUACUGGGCGUAAAGGGCGCGUAGGCGGUUCGGCAAGUCGCCUGUGAAAGUCCGGGGCUCAACCCCGGGGUGACGGGCGAAACUGCCGGGCUAGAGGACGGCAGAGGAGGGUGGAGCGGCCGGAGUUGCGGUGAAAUGCGUAGAUACCGGCCGAAAUCCCGAUGGCGAUGGCAACCCUCUGGGCCGUUCCUGACGCUGAGGCGCGAAAGCGUGGGGUGCGAACCGG